AUGGUGCCCGCACCAGGACCGCCCUCCACCGCCGGCUCUAUCUCCGGCGAGCGCCGCACCGUCUCCCUGCCUUGUCUACGGUGCCGGCGUCAACAACAGCAGUGGACCGGAGCAACUACCUCGCUCCACCAUGUUGCCGACCUCUUGCCGUGGCCUCCUCCUCGCUUCAAGUCCUUGUUGUCAAGCCUCACGUCACCGCCCUGCUACGUUCAUCACCGGAGAUCGCCAGAUCUGGUCGCGUUGGGUCGGGUCGGGUCCUCCCGUCCCUGCCUUGCUGCUUCCCACCAGAGGCCUUCCGUCUCAUGUUUGUUUUGGAUCAGCAAGGAUGAGACACCAAGAACCCUACCCGGACCAUCAAGCACCUUCUCCGAGGAUUUUGCCAAGUACCAUGACAUGAACGACCCUCGAACGCGUCAAGUACCACUACCGUCAAGUACCUCUUCGCAAGACCAAGUUCCUUUAUGA
rnacentral:rRNA from 1 species